rnacentral:rRNA from 1 species
AAUAGAUACCCCGGUAGUCCCAGCCGUAAACGAUGCUCGCUAGGUGUCAGGCAUGGCGCGACCGUGUCUGGUGCCGCAGGGAAGCCGUGAAGCGAGCCACCUGGGAAGUACGGCCGCAAGGCUGAAACUUAAAGGAAUUGGCGGGGGAGCACAACAACGGGUGGAGCCUGCGGUUUAAUUGGACUCAACGCCGGACAACUCACCGGGGACGACAGCAAUAUGUAGGCCAGGCUAAAGACCUUGCCUGAAUCGCUGAGAGGAGGUGCAUGGCCGUCGCCAGUUCGUACUGUGAAGCAUCCUGUUAAGUCAGGCAACGAGCGAGACCCGUGCCCACUGUUACCAGCAUGUCCUCCGGGACGAUGGGUACUCUGUGGGGACCGCCGAUGUUAAAUCGGAGGAAGGUGCGGGCUACGGUAGGUCAGUAUGCCCCGAAUUUCCCGGGGCUACACGCGGGCUACAAUGAAUGGGACGAAUGGGUCCCUACCCGACGAGGGGUUGGUAAUCUCCCAAACCCAUCCGUAGUUCGGAUCGAGGGCUGUAACUCGCCCU